rnacentral:lncRNA from 1 species
CUUCUUGUAGAGUUAAGAAAACUCUUGUUAGAGUUGUGGUGGCUCAUGCCUUUAAUACCAACACUUUGGGAGGCCAAGGCAGGUGGAUUGCUUGAGCCUAGGAGUUGGAGACCACCCUGAACAGCGUAGCAAGACCCCUGUCUCUACAAAAAACCACAACAAUUAGCUGGGCAUGGUGAUGUGCGCCUGUAAUCCCACGUACAGGCUGAGGUGGUUGGGUCACUUGAGCCUGGGAAGUCGAGGCUGCAGUAAGCCGUGAUAGUGCCACUGCACUCUAGACUGUCUGACAGAGUGAGACCCGUCUCAAAAAUUAGAUAAAAUAAAAUAUAAAUAAAAUGAAGGCCUGCAUUGUCCAAGUGACUUUCUCAAGAUCACACCUGGGAAUGACAGGGUCUGGGCCUCUCUCUAGGUCCCUGUGGCUCCAUCUAUAUGAGAUUCCAUUUUCUGUUCCCCAGGAUCCCUGAGGUCAGGUCAAGUUGGCAAGUAGACAUAGACAUAUUAUACCCCCCGACAACCCUUUUUUCCAGUGGUCCAGCAACAAAGGUCCAUUUUCCACUCAUGCUCUGUGUCCACCCUGGGUUGCCUGGAGGGCUCUGCUCUGGUCAUCUCCACUGAGGGACAUCCCAUCUCUAGGUGGGCACGAUUGCCAGUGGCAGGCUAGAAGAGCAGGGCAAUAGUGUGUGGCUCUGCCACUCACAUUUCACUGGCUAAACCAAGACGCAUUGCUACCCUCACUCCAAGGGGGGCCGGGCCGGGGAUAUGCAGUUCUACCUUUCACCUGGGAAUGGAAACGGAAAUAUCUGUUAAGCAGCACUAAUGAACAUUCCGAUAUCCUACAUCUAUCAGGAGAGAUGGGAUGCUUUGAGUCAGUCACUGGCAAGCUUCUUUAUUUGCAUGAUAAGAGGGCUUCUUUCUGAUUUCGGCUUUUCUGUUGUGCUGCCUUUUUUUUUGGCAGGCUCCCAGAGUGAAUGGGCAUUGGUCAGUGGGGCUUGCGGCCCUAUCUCCCCAGGGAGGGAGAAGAUCUGGGGAGGCAUGCCCCCAUCCCCAAGCCAAUGAGCUCCGGAAGCUCCUCCUGGAAAAGCUAAUUAUUGAGGAACAUUUUUAAGGCUCUUGAUUCAAAUCGUCUGCUGCUGUCCAGAAAGAUGACACCAACUUACACAUCCGAUAAGAAUGGAUGAAAUUAAAAUUCUGGGCCGGACGCGGUGGCUCACGCCUGUAAUCCCAGCACUUUGGGAGGCCAAGGCGGGCGGAUCACGAGGUCAGGAGAUCGAGACCAUCCUGGCUAAUGCGGUGAAACCCCGUCUCUACUAAAAAUACAAAAAAUUAGAUGGG